rnacentral:lncRNA from 1 species
UAAAAACAGAAAGGUACUUGAUCACAAAUAGAACAUGAAAUCCUCUACAAGGUGACCGAGUUUAAGUCCUACUUCACUUAAUUACUGGAAAUUGACCUGGAGCUGCCUGCCAGUGCUGAGUUCCGUGGGGAAGAAAAGAGAGCAAAAGAGAAA